rnacentral:rRNA from 1 species
AUAGUAUAAUCUGCUCAAUGAAUAUUAAAUAGCCGCAAUUAGUGCUAAGGUAGCAUAAUCAUUUGUCUCCCAAAUAGAGACUAGAACAAAAGAUUAAACAUUUAAAUUUAUAUAUUUAUAUAAUUAUCAAAACUCUCUUAAAUGUAAAAAGACAUUUAUUCAAAAGAAAGACGACAAGACCCUAUCGAACUUAACUUAAGUUAAACUGGGGUAGUUAAUUAAUUAUUAUUUUAAUAUAAAAAUAUAAUAACUCAUCAAUUAUAAAUAAUUUAUUCAGUUACCGUAGGGAUAACAGCGCAAUAAUAUUUAAAAGAUCCUAUUUAAAAUAUAGAUUACGACCUCGAUGUUGAAUUAAUAACCUAAUUAAAGCAAAUUUUAAAAAAGGAAGUCUGUUCGACUUUUAAAAAAUUACAUGAUUUGAGUUCAGACCGGCAUAAGCCAGGUCGGCUUCCAUCUUCUAUAUAAAUUUUUACAGUACGAAAGGACCCAAUAAUAUAAUUAAAUUAAUUUAUUGGCAGAUAAAUGCAUUAGAAUUAGAAUCUAAUAAAACUAAA